rnacentral:rRNA from 1 species
UCAGGCGGCCAAAGCGGGGUGGUACACCCGAUCUCGUUCCGAUCUCGGAAGUUAAACGCCCCAACGGUCUAGGCUGUACUGCAGAAAUGUGGGAAACCUAGAUAGCUGCCGUUU